rnacentral:rRNA from 1 species
AGAUUGAACGCUGGCGGCAUGCUUUACACAUGCAAGUCGAACGGUAACAGGCCGCAAGGUGCUGACGAGUGGCGAACGGGUGAGUAAUGUAUCGGAACGUGCCCAGUCGUGGGGGAUAACGCAGCGAAAGCUGCGCUAAUACCGCAUACGAUCUAUGGAUGAAAGCGGGGGACCGUAAGGCCUCGCGCGAUUGGAGCGGCCGAUAUCAGAUUAGGUAGUUGGUGGGGUAAAGGCUCACCAAGCCAACGAUCUGUAGCUGGUCUGAGAGGACGACCAGCCACACUGGGACUGAGACACGGCCCAGACUCCACGGGAGGCAGCAGUGGGAAUUUUGGACAAUGGGCGCAAGCCUAGAUCCAGCAAAUGCCGCGUGCAGGAAGAAGGCCUUGGUUGUAAACUGCUUUUGACGGAACGAACGGUCCUAGUUAAUACGUGGACUAAGUGUAACGGUACCGUAAGUAAGUAACGCAACCGGCUAACUACCGUACGCCA